GCCAUGGAAGCGUGGUUAAGCUUGUGUUUCAUAGCCCUGCCCGCGGUACUAGCCCUUUGGUUUCUCAAGCUCUCCAGCGGCGAGAGCAAGCCAGGCAAGCGGCUGCCACCUGGGCCAUGGACCCUGCCGAUCAUCGGCAGCCUCCACCACAUCGUGAGCGUCCUCCCGCACCACACGAUGACAGAGCUCUCUCGCUGGUACGGGCCGCUGAUGCUCCUUAAGCUGGGCGAGCUCCCCACGGUGGUGGUUUCCAGCGCCGAGGCAGCUGCGCUGGUGAUGAAGACGCACGACGUCGCGUUCGCAAACCGGAAGAGCAGCGUGACGCUGGACAUCGCCGCCUGCGGCGGCAACGGCAUCUUCUUCGCCCCCUACGGCGACCGGUGGCGCCGGAUGCGCAGGAUCUGCGUCACGGAGCUUCUCAGCUCCAAGUCAGGGUGGACGUACCGAGCGGGCUUUUCGGCCCGCUCGUGGCCCGCUCGGUCUUGGCCCGCUCGGUCCUGGCCCGGUAAAGAAAUCAGCCGGUCCGGGCCGUCAAAUUAGGCCCGAGAAAACGUCGGUCCGGUCCGGGCUUUGACCGGUCCGCUCGGUCGGACCGAGAAAAGGCACAGCUCAACGCACGCAGUCGCACUCUGUUCGUUCGGUCGCUCAAUCCCGACGCCGCCUCCGCAUCCCAUCCCGGCGCCGCCGCGCCGCCGCUGCCCACCAUACAGCUGCAGGAGGGAGGGAGCGCCGCCUCCGCCGACCGCCGACCCGCCGUUGUCGUAGUUGACCACCUGCACCUCCUCCACUUUCCGCCAUCUUGUCUCUCCCCUUAGUCUCGUCGACCAACACCUCCUCGUCUGCACCUGCACGCGGUGAAAGGAGUAGUGGAGGAGUAGAGGAGGGAGCGCUGCACCUGCCCGUCGUCGUCGACUGUCGCCAUCUCCCCCGCCGUGGACGCUAUGGAGAUGAAGGAGCAGCUGCAGCAGGUCUCGCGUACAAUACAGUUUCGACAGAUAUAGCCAAUCAAAAGGUGCCUACACAACAGCUAAACACAACAAAAACAAACUCCCAGGCAACAUAACCAGCCGGUCCAUUCGGUCCUCUCGGGCCUAACCGAGCUGACGCUCACACGGUCCGGUCCAGAAAAAACGGCUCGCUGGCCAUCUCGGUCCGGUCCGGUCCGGACCGGCCACGGCCGGUCCAAAGCAAGGCUCGGUCAGGGACCGGACCGGCCCGGACCGCGUCCACCCUGAGCUCCAAGUGCGUGAAGCGCAUGGAGGGCGUCAGGGCGGAGGAGGUGGGCCACCUCCUCCGCUCCAUCGCAGCCUCGGACGGCGCCGUCGUCAACGUCAGCGAGAAGGUGUCGGCGCUCAGCAACUCCGUCGCGUCGCGCGCAUUUUUCGGCGGCAAGCUGGCGCAGCAGGACGUGUACCUGCGGGAGUUCCACCAAGUCAUGGAGCUGAUGGGAGGCUUCUGCCUCGUCGACCUCUUCCCGUCGUCCCGGUUGGUGCGGUGGCUGAGCAACGGCGAGCGCCGCAUGAAGAAGAGCUACGGCAGCAUCCGACGCAUCAUCGAGGACGUCAUCGAGAGGCGCAAGGCUGAGCGCCUCGCCGGUGGCACCGAAGACGAGGGCCUGCUGGACGCGCUGCUCAGGAUGCAGGAGGACUCGUUAGUAUCACCGCUAACCACAGACGCAAUAGGCACCAUCUUAUUUGUGAGUAUUCUUACUUUUUUUAACUCAUACUCCCUCCUUUUCUAAAUACUAAGUAUAAGUCUUUGUAAAGAUUUCAUUAUGGACCAUAUACGGAUACGGAUGUAUAUAGAUGUAUUUUUAAUGUAAAUUCACUCGUUUUGCUUCGUAUAUGGUUCAUAGUAAAAUCUCUACAAAGAUUUAUAUUUAGAAACGGAGGAAGACCAUACACACAUAGUCUGCCGGUCAUGCUGUUCGUUCACCUUAUGUCACUUCCUCCGAUUUGCUGCCCACCACCGACUUAACUUGUUUGGGGGAAACUAAACAUGCAGCUAUAAGAUGAAAUUUACUUGUAACAUCUUAAUUUGAUAAAGUAAUAUUGGUCUUUACUGUUGAUUUCAA